rnacentral:rRNA from 1 species
AGUGAAUAGAUACCCAGGUAGUCCAUGCCGUAAACGUCGGGAACUAGGUGUGGGUCUCAUUCCACGAGAUCCGUGCCGCAGCUAACGCAUUAAGUUCCCCGCCUGGGGAGUACGGCCGCAAGGCUAAAACUCAAAGGAAUUGACGGGGGCCCGCACAAGCGGCGGAGCAUGCGGAUUAAUUCGAUGCAACGCGAAGAACCUUACCAAGGCUUGACAUACACCGGAAUCACUCAGAGAUGGGUGCGUCUUCGGACUGGUGUACAGGUGGUGCAUGGUUGUCGUCAGCUCGUGUCGUGAGAUGUUGGGUUAAGUCCCGCAACGAGCGCAACCCUCGUUCUAUGUUGCCAGCACGUCAUGGUGGGGACUCAUAGGAGACUGCCGGGGUCAACUCGGAGGAAGUGGGGAUGACGUCAAAUCAUCAUGCCCCGUUAUGUCUUGGGCUUCACGCAUGCUACAAUGGCCGG